GAUGAACGCUGGCGGCGUGCCUAAUACAUGCAAGUCGAGCGAACGGACGAGAAGCUUGCUUCUCUGAUGUUAGCGGCGGACGGGUGAGUAACAAGUGGAUAACCUACCUAUAAGACUGGGAUAACUUCGGGAAACCGGAGCUAAUACCGGAUAAUAUUUUGAACCGCAUGGUUCAAAAGUGAAAGACGGUCUUGCUGUCACUUAUAGAUGGAUCCGCGCUGCAUUAGCUAGUUGGUAAGGUAACGGCUUACCAAGGCAACGAUGCGUAGCCGACCUGAGAGGGUGAUCGGCCACACUGGAACUGAGACACGGUCCAGACUCCUACGGGAGGCAGCAGUAGGGAAUCUUCCGCAAUGGGCGAAAGCCUGACGGAGCAACGCCGCGUGAGUGAUGAAGGUCUUCGGAUCGUAAAACUCUGUUAUUAGGGAAGAACAGAUGUGGAAGUAACUGUGCACAUCUUGACGGUACCUAAUCAGAAAGCCACGGCUAACUACGUG
rnacentral:rRNA from 1 species